rnacentral:rRNA from 1 species
AUGCACGCUGGCGGCGUGCCUAAUACAUGCAAGUCGAGCGAACGGACGAGAAGCUUGCUUCUCUGAUGUUAGCGGCGGACGGGUGAGUAACACGUGGAUAACCUACCUAUAAGACUGGGAUAACUUCGGGAAACCGGAGCUAAUACCGGAUAAUAUUUUUAACCGCAUGGUUCAAAAGUGAAAGACGGUCUUGCUGUCACUUAUAGAUGGAUCCGCGCUGCAUUAGCUAGUUGGUAAGGUAACGGCUUACCAAGGCAACGAUGCAUAGCCGACCUGAGAGGGUGAUCGGCCACACUGGAACUGAGACACGGUCCAGACUCCUACGGGAGGCAGCAGUAGGGAAUCUUCCGCAAUGGGCGAAAGCCUGACGGAGCAACGCCGCGUGAGUGAUGAAGGUCUUCGGAUCGUAAAACUCUGUUAUUAGGGAAGAACAUAUGUGUAAGUAACUGUGCACAUCUUGACGGUACCUAAUCAGAAAGCCACGGCUAACUACGUG